GACGAACGCUGGCGGCGUGCUUAACACAUGCAAGUCGAACGGAAAGGCCCUGCUUUUGUGGGGUGCUCGAGUGGCGAACGGGUGAGUAACACGUGAGUAACCUGCCCUUGACUUUGGGAUAACUUCAGGAAACUUGGGCUAAUACCGGAUAGGAGCUCCUGCUGCAUGGUGGGGGUUGGAAAGUUUCGGCGGUUGGGGAUGGUCUCGCGGCUUAUCAGCUUGUUGGUGGGGUAGUGGCUUACCAAGGCUUUGACGGGUAGCCGGCCUGAGAGGGUGACCGGCCACAUUGGGACGGAGAUACGGCCCAGACUCCUACGGGAGGCAGCAGUGGGGAAUAUUGCACAAUGGGCGGAAGCCUGAUGCAGCAACGCCGCGUGCGGGAUGACGGCCUUCGGGUUGUAAACCGCUUUCGCCUGUGACGAAGCGUGAGUGACGGUAAUGGGUAAAGAAGCACCGGCUAACUACGUG
rnacentral:rRNA from 1 species